rnacentral:piRNA from 1 species
AGGUUUAUUAUGGAGAUCUAUUACAGG